CAGCUGCUGCCUUCUCAUGCCAAGAGACUUUGUGAGCCUGAGGAAGAAGGGCAGAGAGGAGUGCCACAGGCUCGGGGUUGAGCAGUAUUAGAAAGAAGGAGAAUCAAAGAAGACAGUGCCUCUUUGAGGAUUCCAUCAAGCUUAAAUCCAGGAGAAAAGCAGACCCUGCUCGAGUGGGCUCUUCCUGCCAUCUUGGGUCUUGCCAAUAACACAUAGCCAGAAAUGUUCUGAUCUUUGAUCUUCUAUUGUAUAGGACCAUUUCUUUCCAGAAAGAAAAAGCUGAGAAGCCUUGAAACUUGGUAUAGAUUGUGAAAAAGUCAAUCGUCCAAUAAAAUGAUUUCCGAUUGAGCAUUUUCAAAUAAUUACCUGGAUGUCCAUACCUACAGUUUGUCCUGUGAUGUUUAGACGGG